rnacentral:misc_RNA from 1 species
AAAGUCGUAACAAGGUUUCCGUAGGUGAACCUGCGGAAGGAUCAUUAACACGUAUACUCCAAUAAAAAAACAAACAAAUGCGAACUAAUUUCAUCCCUAUAGGGAGGGGAGUUAAAAUCCUCUCUUUAUAGGCUAACUUAACUUUUCUAUAUAACCAUAUAACCCCUAUAACUAUUAUACAACUAAUACUAAGACAUUCUAGUUUCUUCGGGAACUGCUUGUUAUUCUUUACGAAAUGUAAGAACAACUCUUAGCAAUGGAUAUCUUGGUUCUC